CAGGCCUCGAGCGUCUGAAGGCAGCAUUGGGACAGAGUCCACAGGUCUGCAUGACAUCAAAGUAAACCCUGGGCCCGAGGAUGCCCAGGAGACAGUAAAAUGUAAACUUCUCACAGUUCACCAAGCCCUCCACGGCUGACCCUGCUGUCCCCGCCGGAGUGCCAUCUCACCGCAUGGCCACCCCGUGGUCAUCCUCUAUGUCCCACGGCCACUGCUGCCGGCACGUGCAUCCACAGUGUGGGGCAGUCCUGUCUCCCAGCCUCCGCCUCGGCCUUCCUCGGACCCUCAGCUGUUCCUAGGCCUCACCCCCUGCCUGGCCACCACCUCCAGGAAGCUCUCCCUGAAUCCCCCCAAGGAGGCCAGGGUCCUGCACGCUGGGGGGCAAUGGUGAGGGUGGACAGCCAGGGGCGAAAGAACCGGAGUGUCGGCCAGAUCCAGGCUCGCGCAGCCGCGUGCCUCCCGCAUGCCGCCACCAAGCGCCACAGAGUCAUCCUGCGGCCACUGCUUCUCGCACAUCUGCCUCCCCGCCAGACCGCAGACUCUCCGGGAUGGAGGCCUGUCCCACUCACCGCCCCGUCUUCUGUAGGGCCGCAGUGGGCCAGCUCUGGUCCAUCGGACCCCCGGCACCUUCUCUUGUCCGUCUCUGCCGCACCUGCAGGUGGCCGUGCACGCGGCUCCGGAGGGACACCGUGUUGCCACGGAGCCCCAGUCACCUCUCUGCCCUGCACACAUUCCGCCCACGAUUACGUAACUAACACCCCGACACCGUUCACUCACGGACACGCCGCCUGCCGCGGUACCAGCCGUCCGCACGUGCCGCUCGGGCUGUGCAGGACUCCUUAGGCCUGGCUGUUCACAGAAUCUGCUAAUUUCCAGCCGUGCCCUGUCCUGUUGAAAAAAAAAUUAUCAUCUGUAACAAUUACACAGUUCAGUUGUUUGAUGGAAAAUAAAUCUGUCAUCAUUCCCCUGCUAAAAGUGACUUCACCUACAGAGGAUGCUCUGGAUGUCUCCACAGAGGCCCCGGCGUGGCCCCUCCUGAGUCCACCCAGCAGCUGUCAUCGGACCCAGUCCCGCCAGCCCCCACGGGAGUCUGCCUGCAAACAAGCCUCUGCCGGGCGUGUCACAUGGAGUGUCACUUCUGACGACCAUUAAUCAAUGUUAAAUGAAUAAAGGUUUCCGUGACCCAA